CAAAAUAUUCAGGGGAGAUUGUGUGACAAUCUGAGAGUAGCUUAUUAAGCUAGACCCUUUGAACCUGUCGGUUAGUACCGUUGUAGGGAGCGAUUUGCAUAGUGCAUU
rfam:Vagococcus penaei strain CD276, complete genome.